rnacentral:rRNA from 1 species
UGGGGAAUUUUGGACAAUGGGCGAAAGCCUGAUCCAGCCAUGCCGCGUGCAGGAUGAAGGCCUUCGGGUUGUAAACUGCUUUUGUACGGAACGAAAAGACUCUGGUUAAUACCUGGGGUCCAUGACGGUACCGUAAGAAUAAGCACCGGCUAACUACGUGCCAGCAGCCGCGGUAAUACGUAGGGUGCAAGCGUUAAUCGGAAUUACUGGGCGUAAAGCGUGCGCAGGCGGUUAUAUAAGACAGAUGUGAAAUCCCCGGGCUCAACCUGGGAACUGCAUUUGUGACUGUAUAGCUAGAGUACGGCAGAGGGGGAUGGAAUCCCGCGUGUAGCAGUGAAAUGCGUAGAUAUGCGGAGGAACACCGAUGGCGAAGGCAAUCCCCUGGGCCUGUACUGACGCUCAUGCACGAAAGCGUGGGGAGCAAACAGGAUUAGAUACCCUGGUAGUCCACGCCCUAAACGAUGUCAACUGGUUGUUGGGUCUUCACUGACUCAGUAACGAAGCUAACGCGUGAAGUUGACCGCCUGGGGAGU